UUUGUUUGGAUGGACAACGCCUGGAAUUGUAUAUUUAGUAUGAAAAUUUACUUUGUUUUACAUGUAUCAAAAUGAAGUUUUCACAACAUGUACGUGCGUGUAUCUCUGUGCUUAUAUAUCAAUUGACGAGCAACACUUCAAAAUAUCCUGCAAAUGGAACCAACACUGAUUAGAAGCCGCUGUUGCGUAUAGAGAGGGAAGAGAAAAUAAUUGGGUUUUAAAAAAAAACAGAAGAAAAAAGGGCGGGCAAGUUGUGGCCGCUGUUGUGUACAGGGAGGCGGCUUGUCAGGAGAGAAGGACGCAUCUGCUGGGGAGAGAGAGAUGCAGCUACAGGGGAGAGACGGAGAUGGAGGAGGAUCUUUGUGAGGGGCGGGAUCUGGCCGGGAGAGAAAACGGCAGCAAAUCUGCAUGGGCGAUGGAGCGAGAGGGGCAGCACAGGUGGCGGUGGAGCUCUGUUGUGUGCAAGGAGAUGCGGCGGCGCACUGCGUGCUAGGAGAGACGGCGGAGCUCUUCGUGAUGGGAGAUGGGGCGGCGACAGAGCUCUGCUGCGUGUAGGGAGAGACGGCGGCGCGCUGCGUGCAGAGGAAGGGACAAACUGUGGUAAGCGACUUGCUGGAUUGAAGGUCCGCUGAAUUCUCCUUAAUACGGAGACAAGGGGCUCUAAAUUGG
rnacentral:lncRNA from 1 species